AUGUUUUUAGACCACAGAGCACAGGGCAGCCUCCAGGGAAGCCAGCAUGCCUCAAACCACUGGAGGACUCUACCACUGCAGGCAGCCUCUGUGGAAGAUGAGGAGAGAUUCCAGGUCAUCACAGAUGACCUCCAGAGUGACCAAUCUCAUCAGAAAUCAGGAAAACUACUAAGCAGUGGAGAAAGUAGAAAAAAGUAUUCUCCACCCUCUGCCUUAGUACAAGAGUAAGUGUGAUGACCAUUUCCUAGGUAAUAUAUAUUUAUUAAUUUUUACUUAAAAGAGCACAGUAGUCCUACAUGCAAACUGAUUCAGCUACCAUCUCCAAACUACUGAAUCCCAGAUCUAAAGAAUGUCACCUAUGGACUUUUUUCUAUCCUUUCAUAAUGAUAUAUUUGGUUGCAAUAACGAUCUGCUCUAAAUUAAUGGAUUUGACUGAUAGAGCUGUACAUGACUAAAACAGAAUGCUUUAUCAGACAUUCUUCCCUGUCCUGAGGCAUAUUUUACCACCUGGCCUUUCAUGGAGGCCCAGAUUCAUCACCAUCACCUUAGACCUCCUUAUAGCUAAGUUUCAUCUUAGUCCUGUAGUUCGUUUACGAGUAGCAUCUUUCAGAUGAUUCUUUGGAUGGUUAGGAAAACAUUUCAAGUUCUUGUCUAAGCUCUUAACCUCUUAUAUCUCAAUUGCCAUAAUACUAUUUCUUCUUGCUUUGACAAGUUUAUCAUGUGUCUUCACUUUUGUGCCUUCCUCUGAGUGGACCCUUUACUUGAAACUUACUGAAAAC
rnacentral:lncRNA from 1 species